UGUGGUCGGGAACGCUGUGGCAGUCGAUCAUCGCAUGCUGCCUUAGUUACCUCCCCACCGCU
rfam:Pseudomonas sp. TW4, complete genome.